rnacentral:lncRNA from 1 species
UGAUGAUUGAUGGUGAGCAGAAGAAAGAGACCAAGUUUUCAAGCCGGAUUCACUUGAGGAUUUGUCUUGAAGGUGGAUAUCAUGUCCUGGAUGAGUCAACACAUUACAGUAGUGAUUUAAGGCCAACUGCGAAACCUCUGUGGAAACCUAGCAUUGGUGUUCUUGAGCUGGGUAUCUUGACAGCACAAGGCCUGUUACCAAUGAAGACCAAGGAUGGGCGUGGCACAACUGAUGCCUACUGUGUUGCAAAGUAUGGACAGAAAUGGGUGAGGACUAGGACUAUAAUUGACAGUUUCACCCCCAAAUGGAAUGAACAGUACACAUGGGAGGUGUAUGACCCAUGCACUGUGAUCACGAUUGGUGUAUUUGACAACUGCCAUCUGAAUGGUGGGGACAAGGCUAAUGGUGCCCGGGACACCCGAAUUGGCAAGGUCCGCAUCCGUCUCUCCACACUUGAAACUGAUCGAGUGUAUACCCACUCGUACCCUCUUAUUGUUCUGACACCUGCUGGCGUUAAGAAGAUGGGUGAGGUGCAGCUUGCUGUCCGGUUCACAUGCUCAUCGCUGC